UCCCUGAUGGUCCAGUGGCUAAGACUCUGUGCCCCCAAUACAGGGGGCCUGGGUUCAAUCCCUGCUCAGGGAA
rnacentral:tRNA from 1 species